rnacentral:rRNA from 1 species
GACGAACGCUGGCGGCGUGCUUAACACAUGCAAGUCGAACGGAAAGGCCCUGCUUUUGUGGGGUGCUCGAGUGGCGAACGGGUGAGUAACACGUGAGUAACCUGCCCUUGACUUUGGGAUAACUUCAGGAAACUGGGGCUAAUACCGGAUAGGAGCUCCUGCUGCAUGGUGGGGGUUGGAAAGUUUCGGCGGUUGGGGAUGGACUCGCGGCUUAUCAGCUUGUUGGUGGGGUAGUGGCUUACCAAGGCUUUGACGGGUAGCCGGCCUGAGAGGGUGACCGGCCACAUUGGGACUGAGAUACGGCCCAGACUCCUACGGGAGGCAGCAGAGGGGAAUAUUGCACAAUGGGCGGAAGCCUGAUGCAGCAACGCCGCGUGCGGGAUGACGGCCUUCGGGUUGUAAACCGCUUUCGCCUGUGACGAAGCGUGAGUGACGGUAAUGGGUAAAGAAGCACCGGCUAACUACGUGCCAGCAGCCGCGGUGAUACGUAGGGUGCGAGCGUUGUCCGGUUUUAUUGGGCGUAAAGGGCUCGUAGGUGGUUGAUCGCGUCGGAAGUGUAAUCUUGGGGCUUAACCCUGAGCGUGCUUUCGAUACGGGUUGACUUGAGGAAGGUAGGGGAGAAUGGAAUUCCUGGUGGAGCGGUGGAAUGCGCAGAUAUCAGGAGGAACACCAGUGGCGAAGGCGGUUCUCUGGGCCUUUCCUGACGCUGAGGAGCGAAAGCGUGGGGAGCGAACAGGCUUAGAUACCCUGGUAGUCCACGCUGUAAACGGUGGGUACUAGGUGUGGGGUCCAUUCCACGGGUUCCGUGCCGUAGCUAACGCUUUAAGUACCCCGCCUGGGGAGUACGGCCGCAAGGCUAAAACUCAAAGGAAUUGACGGGGCCCCGCACAAGCGGCGGAGCAUGCGGAUUAAUUCGAUGCAACGCGUAGAACCUUACCUGGGUUUGACAUGGAUCGGGAGCGCUCAGAGAUGGGUGUGCCUCUUUUGGGGUCGGUUCACAGGUGGUGCAUGGCUGUCGUCAGCUCGUGUCGUGAGAUGUUGGGUUAAGUCCCGCAACGAGCGCAACCCUUGUUCACUGUUGCCAGCACGUUAUGGUGGGGACUCAGUGGAGACCGCCGGGGUCAACUCGGAGGAAGGUGGGGAUGACGUCAAGUCAUCAUGCCCCUUAUGUCCAGGGCUUCACGCAUGCUACAAUGGCUGGUACAGAGAGUGGCGAGCCUGUGAGGGUGAGCGAAUCUCGGAAAGCCGGUCUCAGUUCGGAUUGGGGUCUGCAACUCGACCUCAUGAAGUCGGAGUCGCUAGUAAUCGCAGAUCAGCAACGCUGCGGUGAAUACGUUCCCGGG